rnacentral:rRNA from 1 species
GAAACAGGUUAAUAUUCCUGUACUUGGUGUUACUGCGAAGGGGGGACGGAGAAGGCUAUGUUAGCCGGGCGACGGUUGUCCCGGUUUAAGCAUGUAGGCUGGUUAUCCAGGCAAAUCCGGAUAACCAAGGCUGAGGUGUGAUGACGAGGCACUACGGUGCUGAAGUAACAAAUGCCCUGCUUCCAGGAAAAGCCUCUAAGCAUCAGGUAACAUCAAAUCGUACCCCAAACCGACACAGGUGGUCAGGUA